rnacentral:rRNA from 1 species
GUCUACAACUAUGCCGCCUUAAACAAGCCUGAUGUCUGAUCUCGGAAGCUAAGCAAGGUUGGGCCUGGUUAGUACUUGGAUGGGAGACCACCUAGGAAGACCAGGUGCUGUAGGCA